UUAAUUAAUAAACUAUGAGAGUUUAAUAGUUUCAUAGUUUAGGGUUUGUUCGGUUUGUUUUUGGCUACUUUUUUCUGAUGUGUGGAGACAAACGUAAUUUUCACCUAAACGUAUUCCUUCUUUUAUUCUCUGUUUCUGGUUCUUCUCAGGUUCUGAUAUGCCUAAAUGAACUGAUUAGUAUCCAAGCUCAAAUAAUGAUGGAUUUUACAUCUUCAGAAGUGAUGUGCGAGGUUGCCAAUUUAACAAAGGAAUUUACUUUUAGUCAUUCUUGUUCGUUUUAGUUAACCUCACUUGUAACAGGAAUUCAUUCAUAAUAGACCACGUAUGGAAACAUCCCAAUAUAUGUAUGUAUUUAGUUAACAAGAAUGUGCUCAGACAAAGACUCUUACUGUGAAGUUCUGGUUGCAUUGGUAAGGUUGCUAUCCAAUUUGAGCGCGAUUGCGACCAUCGAUAUCAAGGUUUUGAAGCAAAGAUCGUUUAAGGGAGGGUCUAAGUUAGGGCACUACAUUUCAUACAGCCUCAUUUAUGAAAGCUAAUGCAUUGAAGUGAAAGUGAGCGCCCCCCAUCUUUCGGACUGUGUGCACUUCCGCCCGAUCCUCUGGACACGGAACCACAGCUCGCUUUUCCCUCCACACGACCUUUCAGAUCCCUCCUCACAUCCAUCUAUCUCUCUAUCCUUUAUAGCGACCCAACGGCACUUUUAAGAGCCACUCGCCUGUCUGUCUAUCCAUACAUCCGUUUAUAAUCUGAUUAUAGAUAAUCAAUUUGUCUAUCUACCUAUCUGUUUGUCUAUCUAUAUAUCUAUCUGUCUAUCUCUCUAUCUACUUACCUACCUACCUCUCUGUCGUUCUACCUUUUUGGCUUUCUUUCUGGCUGUUCAUCUGUCUGUCUGACUGACUGGAUACCAUGCCAGGUUCAACCCAAAAGACCUGCCAGUCAUGCAAGGCACAAAUAAAUGUUGGCUGUAAACACUGCAAGCUGUGUGGGGCUUCUCAGCCCCAGAAAGUGAAAUUGCAGCAGGCCAAAGACAAAACAUCAAAGGAAUGGGCCCAAAAAAUGUUGAAUGGAAGAAACACCUCAAAGCUGAUAAAUUCCACCAAUCUUCUACUCCACAAGUUUCACAUGUUGGGUUAUUACCCCCUUCUUCUUCUUGGGAGGAGGAAGACGAGGCAGGCCACAAAUUUUAGG